CUCUCCAGCCCUUCUUGGCUUUCGUGCACCACCACCACGACCUUCAUCCUCCUCUUCACCAUUCUUACUAGUUUUAAUCUUUGUGCCUAUUACGUAAGAGGAAAGUAGAGCCUUAGUUGGGUGAUUUUGUGACUUUUGAUCGUGCGGUGACGCUUACAGCAGGGGGAUCAUAGACCAGCGUAGCAGGUACUGGAGCUUCUUAUGCAUUGCAUUGCAUUUGGGGAAAGUGAUGAGGGCGAAGCAUAACUUGUGUCAUUACCCUAUCUUUCGAUUUUGUAUCUCUUGUUAUCUUUUGUAAAUUUCGGUUGUAUAUGUUCUGUUAUGAGGCCUUGUGUCCUCCCACGUGUAUUUGUAUUUCCGCUGCGUAGUUUAUAACUCUGUAUGGUUUUGAGUAGUUAAGUCUUUUUAAAAAACGCAAACGUCGACACUGGAACCACGAUCCAUGUUUGGCAUGUUGAUUUGAGAAGCCGGCGACGAAUCAUUCCGCCGUGAUAUA